rnacentral:rRNA from 1 species
AUGGAGCCGACCUUGAAAUACCACCCUUUAAUGUUUGAUGUUCUAACGUUGACCCGUAAUCCGGGUUGCGGACAGUGUCUGGUGGGUAGUUUGACUGGGGCGGUCUCCUCCUAAAGAGUAACGGAGGAGCACGAAGGUUGGCUAAUCCUGGUCGGACAUCAGGAGGUUAGUGCAAUGGCAUAAGCCAGCUUGACUGCGAGCGUGACGGCGCGAGCAGGUGCGAAAGCAGGUCAUAGUGAUCCGGUGGUUCUGAAUGGAAGGGCCAUCGCUCAACGGAUAAAAGGUACUCCGGGGAUAACAGGCUGAUACCGCCCAAGAGUUCAUAUCGACGGCGGUGUUUGGCACCUCGAUGUCGGCUCAUCACAUCCUGGGGCUGAAGUAGGUCCCAAGGGUAUGGCUGUUCGCCAUUUAAAGUGGUACGCGAGCUGGGUUUAGAACGUCGUGAGACAGUUCGGUCCCUAUCUGCCGUGGGCGCUGGAGAACUGAGGGGGGCUGCUCCUAGUACGAGAGGACCGGAGUGGACGCAUCACUGGUGUUCGGGUUGUCAUGCCAAUGGCACUGCCCGGUAGCUAAAUGCGGAAGAGAUAAGUGCUGAAAGCAUCUAAGCACGAAACUUGCCCCGAGAUGAGUUCUCCCUGACCCUUUAAGGGUCCUGAAGGAACGUUGAAGACGACGACGUUGAUAGGCCG